rnacentral:sRNA from 1 species
UUAUGGAGAAGACUUCAUAAGUGUUAUAUUUCCUAUUUUGCAAAUUCAGAAUUUGCAAAAUAGGAAAUAUAACACUUAUGAAGUCUUCUCCAUAA